rnacentral:pre_miRNA from 1 species
CGUCGGCAGUUGAAAUUCCUUACCCAAAGAAACACAGAAUCUUCCCAUAAGAUUCUGUGUUUCUUUGGGUAAGGAAUUUCAACUGCCGACG